rnacentral:rRNA from 1 species
UACGGAGGAUCCAAGCGUUAUCCGGAUUCAUUGGGCUUAAAGGGUGCGUAGGCGGAUUUGUAAGUCAGUGGUGAAAGCCAACAGCUUAACUGUUGAACUGCCAUUGAUACUGCAAGUCUUGAGUACAUUUGAUGUGGGCGGAAUGUGUCAUGUAGCGGUGAAAUGCUUAGAUAUGACACAGAACACCGAUUGCGAAGGCAGCUCACAAAACUGUAACUGACGCUGAGGCACGACAGCGUGGGGAUCAAACAGG